GAACUAGAACAGGACGCUUGGGGUCUCCGAGCACUAUAAGCUCGACCUCAGAUCAGGUAGGAAUACCCGCUGAACUUAAGCAUAUCAAUAAGCGGAGGAAAAGAAACCAACAGGGAUUGCCCCAGUAGCGGCGAGUGAAGCGGCAAGAGCUCAGAUUUGAAAUCGUGUUUCGGCACGAGUUGUAGAGUGUAGGCGGGAGUCUCUGUGGAGCGCGGUGUCCAAGUCCCUUGGAACAGGGUGCCUGAGAGGGUGAGAGCCCCGUGGGGUGCUGCGCGAAGCUUUGAGGCCCUGCUGACGAGUCGAGUUGUUUGGGAAUGCAGCUCUAAGCGGGUGGUAAAUUCCAUCUAAGGCUAAAUAUUGGCGAGAGACCGAUAGCGAACAAGUACUGUGAAGGAAAGAUGAAAAGCACUUUGAAAAGAGAGUGAAACAGCACGUGAAAUUGUUGAAAGGGAAGGGUAUUGGGCCCGACAUGGGGAGUGCGCACCGCUGUCUCUUGUAGGCGGCGCUCUGGGCGCUCUCUGGGCCAGCAUCGGUUCUUGCUGCGAGAGAAGUGGCGCCGGAAAGUGGCUCUUCGGAGUGUUAUAGCCGGUGCCGGAUGUCGCGUGCGGGGACCGAGGGCUGCGACAUCUGUCUCGGAUGCUGGCACAACGGCGCAAUACCGCCCGUCUUGAAACAUGGACCAAGGAGUCUAACGUCUAUGCGAGUGUUUGGGUGUGAAACCCGUACGCGUAAUGAAAGUGAACGUAGGUCGGACCCUUCGGGGGCACGAUCGACCGAUCCUGAUGUUUAUCGGAUGGAUUUGAGUAAGAGCAUAGCUG
rnacentral:rRNA from 1 species